UACGGGGGAGCAAGCGUUGUUCGGAUUUACUGGGCGUAAAGGGCGCGUAGGCGGUCGUGACAAGUCACUUGUGAAAUCUCCGGGCUUAACUCGGAACGGUCAAGUGAUACUGUCGGACUAGAGUACAGAAGGGGCAACUGGAAUUCUCGGUGUAGCGGUGAAAUGCGUAGAUAUCGAGAGGAACACCUGCGGCGAAGGCGGGUUGCUGGGCUGACACUGACGCUGAUGUGCGAAAGCUAGGGGAGCAAACAGG
rnacentral:rRNA from 1 species